rnacentral:rRNA from 1 species
UACGUAGGGGGCGAGCGUUGUCCGGAUUUAUUGGGCGUAAAGAGCUCGUAGGCGGUUUGGUAAGUUGGAUGUGAAAUCUCCAGGCUCAACUUGGGGGGGUCAUUCGAUACUGCCAUGACUAGAGUUCGGUAGGGGAGUGUGGAAUUCCUGGUGGAGCGGUGAAAUGCGCAGAUAUCAGGAGGAACACCCGUAGCGAAGGCGGCCCUCUGGGCCGGAACUGACGCUGAGGAGCGAAAGCGUGGGGAGCGAACAGG